CAACCUGCCGAUAACUCGGGGAUAGCCUUUCGAAAGAAAGAUUAAUAUCCGAUAGUAUAUUUUCUCCGCAUGGCGAGAAUAUUAAAGAAUUUCGGUUAUCGAUGGGGAUGCGUUCCAUUAGUUUGUUGGCGGGGUAACGGCCCACCAAGACUACGAUGGAUAGGGGUUCUGAGAGGAAGGUCCCCCACAUUGGAACUGAGACACGGUCCAAACUCCUACGGGAGGCAGCAGUGAGGAAUAUUGGUCAAUGGACGAGAGUCUGAACCAGCCAAGUAGCGUGAAGGAUGACUGCCCUAUGGGUUGUAAACUUCUUUUAUAUGGGAAUAAAGUAUUCCACGUGUGGAAUUUUGUAUGUACCAUAUGAAUAAGGAUCGGCUAACUCCGUGCCAGCAGCCGCGGUAAUACGGAGGAUCCGAGCGUUAUCCGGAUUUAUUGGGUUUAAAGGGAGCGUAGGUGGAUUGUUAAGCCAGUUGUGAAAGUUUGCGGCUCAACCGUAAAAUUGCAGUUGAAACUGGCAGUCUUGAGUACAGUAGAGGUGGGCGGAAUUCGUGGUGUAGCGGUGAAAUGCUUAGAUAUCACGAAGAACUCCGAUUG
rnacentral:rRNA from 1 species